rnacentral:sRNA from 1 species
ACUGGUCUUCGGUCAAGGGUAUACGAGUAGCUGCGCUCCCCUGCUAGAACCUCCAAACAAGCUCUCAAACUUGACUUUCAAAUGAAAAGCUUGCUGUAGUAUUAGUGGGAACUCAAGU